UGGAUGGGCUGCUGAGCUCCACAUCAAGCCUGGCAGCAGGAAAAGCUACUUCUAGAUUCUCAUGUGGAGUGGACAGAGGCAGGAAGAGGCCCGAGAGGGAGAUCAUAUUAAAAGUACUCCAAAAAUUGAACAGUGGUCAUCAGGGUUUGGGAAGAAGAUCCUUGUGACCCGAUGUACUAGUGAAACCUUCUUGUCUCGGAUUGGAAGCACCGGUCAGGUGCUCUGCACAAAGCUGGCCAACCACAGUAAAUGCUGCUGAUGAUACAAGCCAGAGUCCAAGCCACCCCUCAGGUGGAAGUUGCCCCGGGACAUAUUUAGUAGCCACCGCUGGACCUCUGUCACUACCAGCUGUGUCAUUAGCAGAGGAGCAUUUCGACAUGACUGGAAUUGCAACUAGGAGUGGAAGGAAGGAACGAUUUAUAAGGUGUGUGUUUUUGAGAAAUCAUACCCAGUUGCAACCCAGUUAACCAACAGUUCAGAGGGUUCACUGUGGACUAGGUGAUCAUUCUACUCAGCCUGACUCAUGCCAGUUUGGAUAUUAAAAAAAAUUCUCCAGCCACCAUGAAGAAAGAGCAUGGAAAAGCAGCAUCUGCAUUAGGAAAUGAUUGCCUAGUUCUCUUCAGGCAAGUUUUAUACAUGAGUGCAUAGUUCACGCUCCAUGGGCCUAAACUCUAAAAAUGUGAUAUCUUGUUAUUAGUCACUGCUUUUCAGACCACAUUUUAAUUAAACA